rnacentral:lncRNA from 1 species
UCACGUGCAAAUCAUUAGUAGUUAAUUACCAACUUUUUGUAUUUUAGGAUCCGUCUAUAUUUAUGAUAAAGAGUUGAAAUUUGAUACAUAGACUAACUACUUCCCUUGGCCGUUGUAAAGAAUAACUACAUCCCUUGGUGAUGAUGUGUAUCGAACAAAGAGUAUGAACUCAAACCAAGAGCUGCUUCAUGGGAUAGAGCAUUCACCUCACCCGUUGACAUGCUCAGCAACAUGGGUAAAAUCUAACUAGCAAAUAAUACUUCAGAAACUAAAAUUUCAACACAAUUAGAGACCGCGAAAAAGUCAAGCUAUUAGCAUGGAGAAUAGGUCCGGUCCAAACCAAGAGAUACCAAUUUAGGUGAUUGAUUUAAAGACGUUCUUAGAAAUCGUGGUUGAGUCUAACAGAAUCUCAUAAAACCGGUUUGUAAGGUGAAGAUUGCUCUCAUUAAUAAACACUUUGUCAGAUCAUCUCUUAUCAAAUGUGAUACUCUUUAACACAUCCCAUUACACCCAUGACUGGACAUCUAGAAUGUGGAUAUAAAUGGCAAGUGACUCGAUAACAGAAACCUGGUAGCAGGUGGUCCAAUGAAUCUUAGAGAGACUUUAAAAGAAUAAAAGUGAGGAUGUCGAACGAAAAGUUUGUUUCAACAAAAUUGAGAUAAGAUCCAUAUAAGAGCUUAAAUCCUAGUCCAUUUUUUUUCCAUGUUUUUAUUUGGCAGCCCAAACUACUUAAUACAACAAAAAAAAUGCUCUAUAGAGCUUCAAUGUGAAGAAAGUUGUGUGUUCGAUCUCUGGCACCCUCCCUUUUUAUAAUUUUUAGCGAAUUUUUCUUUUUUUAUUCAAAAUACAAGGUCCUGG